rnacentral:rRNA from 1 species
ACGCUCGACACCUACGGAGGCAGCAGUGGGGAAUAUUGCACAAUGGGGGAAACCCUGAUGCAGCGACGCCGCGUGAGCGAAGAAGUAUUUCGGUAUGUAAAGCUCUAUCAGCAGGGAAGAAACUGACGGUACCUGACUAAGAAGCACCGGCUAAAUACGUGCCAGCACGCCGGACGGUUAAUCUGGAGGCGGGCUGGACGAAGGC